GUUUGGUUUUGUUUAUUUCAGGAUGGAUCUGAUAAUUCUGGUCUCAAUUUAAAUAAUCUUUAGGGCAUCCAUUUUAUUUAUAUAUAUAUAUAUACAUAUAUAUAUAUAUAUAUAUAUAUAUAUAUGCACAUACAUGCUCUAUUUUAUAUAUAGGAUGUAUAUUACACCCUAUUUUAAAAUUGGCAUGGUGACAGAAUUGGCCACUUUAUACAAAAUGCCUCUGUCUGCAUUUUAAUAAAGAUAAUAAUGUGAUCAAUGAAACAGAAGUGAUCUUUGGAAAAAAACAUUUCUACAUGGUACUUCCAGGGUGUGAGAUAGAGCUUUGGCAGAAGAGCGGCUGCCCUGCAAGUUAAACCAGGUACAACAGAGCACAUCCCACCUGGGUAAUUAGACUGACAACAAGGCCCAUCUCAAGAUGCCUUUGGUCCUGCUUGAGUUUAGGCUGUUCCUGGAGAGGAAGCUGUGGUGCUUGCUGGGACCUUAGGGUAUCUGGGAACCCUGGAGUAGCCAGAUAUGCAAUGCUCAUUUUACAGAUGUUAGAUUCCCUGAGAAUGAUGGCCGUGUACGGCUUCUGCUUUUGCUAGUUCUGGACUGGGAGCCCAAAGCCUCCAAGAGGAAAAUUUCAGCCAGAAGUGGGAGUGUUUUACAACUGAAGUAUCAACCAUAGCUAUGCUUCACUCAGUGGGAAAAACAGUGCAUGGGUGCUGGGAAGGAAGAGAGGGGAGCUCCUCCUCAGUACUGCUCUGGCCAGUAAGCUGUCGUAGUCUCCUCCCUCACCAUUGCUAUAAAGUGGUGACGGCAUGGGAAUAGAAUUAAUAAUGGCUUUGACACUUGACUCAAUGCAGCUGAACUUAGGAAGCAGAGACAUGAUUUUUUUUUCUUUUUUUAAAAAUAUUAACUUUUUAGUUGUAGUUGGACCCAGUACCUUUAUUUUCUUUAUUUUUAUGUGGUGCUGAGGAUUGAACCCAGGGCCUCGCAUGUGCUAGGCGAGCGUUUCUACCGCUGAUCCACAACCCCAGCCCGAGACAGGUUUCUUAAGGAAAUUUUUUUCCCUUUGUUUUUCCUCCCAAUGCAGGAGUGGUCAAUGGUCAGCAGAUGCUUUAUGCUCUAUAUGAGCACCAUAAGUGGUCCUGAAAGUGUUCAGUGGGCCAAUAUUGGCUUGGUUGUGUAUAACAGAAGACAUCAGGUUGCAGUGACUUGAGUUGGUUUAUUUCUCAAGUGGAAUCAGAGGUCAUUGGUCCAAGGCUCAUAUGAUGGUUCAGAGACCCGAGUUCUUUC
rnacentral:lncRNA from 1 species